UGCGUAGGUGGUUGUUUAAGUCUGUUGUGAAAGCCCUGGGCUCAACCUGGGAACUGCAGUGGAAACUGGACGACUAGAGUGUGGUAGAGGGUAGCGGAAUUCCUGGUGUAGCAGUGAAAUGCGUAGAGAUCAGGAGGAACAUCCAUGGCGAAGGCAGCUACCUGGACCAACACUGACACUGAGGCACGAAAGCGUGGGAGCAAACA
rnacentral:rRNA from 1 species